GUCCAUUCCUGACCGGUGCAAUCUAUGGAGAGAGACGCCAACUUAAAGAGACUGGGGACCACAAAGACGAAGCCAGUGGAGUAAAUGUCAGGACUGCAGAACAGCCCUGUGGAAUUGAUGAACUCGCAGGGGAACUAGCCAAGGUGGAGUCUGGGCAGAGGCAUCUGACACAGCCCCAGCGAUGACUCGGGGGGAUAUGGACGGCUGGAUCCCCACAGAUGGUGUUCGGUCUCAGCGCUCACCUCCUCCAUCCUGCGGCCGUCACGCGGGUCUUGCUUCUCCAUAGCGUGGAUGCAAACACACACACCCACUGGCACUCAAGCUAGACAGCCAAGAAAAUUGUUCAUGGAAACCAGAAUGGAAAUACCUUGAAGAUUAAUUAGCCGCAUUUUGCUCUGUCUGAUUCACAUCUUGCUGCCUAAGUGCAUGGUCGAUCUCCUUCCUCACUCCACUCAGUCAUACAGCCCAGACAGACAUUUCACUGUCUUCUAGAAAUCUUCACUCUUGUGUAUAUGAAGCCAUUUUAAAUUUAAUUUAAUCCUGAUUUAAAAUUCCACUGACAAAACAUUUAAAAGCAGAAAAUGAGUUAAACUUCAGCCAUUUGUAGGGUUAUCAAAUGUUUGGAAUGACAGCACAGAUCAAUGCAAGUGUCAGUGAUUUCAGCCAGUAUCUUUAAUUCAUAAAAUGCUUGUCACAAUGAUUUAUUUUCCUAAUAUUGUGAGGCACAACUUAAAUUAUCCAUUAAUGAAGCGGGAUAUCCCUAAAUUUAGUUUAGUGCCAUUUGUUGUGACAAUGAAAACCAAAUGUUUAGAAGCCUAUGACUUGUGGUCUUCGCUUUGAAGUGCAGCUCUCCACGAGCGGCAUUCUUCCAGGGAGUGAGCUGGCUGCUCGCAAAACAGGCAGCAUCUUCUUCAGAGACGUCCCGGUGGAGUGAGGCAGCUGGUGUUGUGAAUCAGGCCGCCGUUCAUGCUGGGCUCGGCUGCUUCACAACACCAGGGUCACACCCUUCCCUGCGCUCCUGUGCCACCAGCAGAUCUCAUAGUAGCAGGUGAGCUAACCUCGCUAAUGGGGGCAUCAUCUUGACUUAAUGGGGGGCAUCAUAUAGACUAUGGCAUUGUCCAUAUGAUGUCUCAAAUGAUCAGUGCUUAUAUAGACCAUGCAAUCAUUUCGACUGAGGUACACAAGUAGCCGAACACUACAGAGUCCUCUUGACUAAGAUACUCAUAUAGACCAUAGCACCAUGACGACUGAUGUACUCAUAUAGACCAUGAUGUCAUCUCAGCUGAAGUAUUCACAGAGAUCAUGAUAUCAUUUCGACUAAGAUAGUCAUACAGACUAUGGUGUCAUUUCAACUGAGAUACGCAUAUACUGUACACCAUCAUCUCCAAACCUGUCUCAAUAACCUGUGACCUUUUGCGCUGCUUCAUUUUUAAUAUCUUGUUUAUGUCUCAAGAUGCCCAAGUAUGGUUAUAAUAAUGAUGACAUUGUACCCCUUACAUACUCUUUCUCCAGAAUUUAGCUCAGAUGAUGUCAGCUGCCAUUUAUCCUGCUUGACUCAGACAGGAGCUACUGGCGACCAACAUUCUGGGUCGUUACAUUAGCAAAUUAAGACAUUUGCAGAAAGUCCUAGUAUUACAUUAAAAUAAUUUUUUAUGGCUUGCUCAUGUCUGUGGAAAGUCUUUGGGACAUUUUUUCAGGCAUAAUACACUCACUUGUUUUCAUUCUUUCAGCAAGGAAACUUCAUUUAUGUCCAAAGCUAGAAGGAUGUCAAGGAAACGACAGUAUCGCUUUAGAAUGUCAAAACCGAUGCUAUCUACCUAAAAAAAUAGCUGUUAAAUAUUGCACUUUAAAAUGGUACACGGAAAUUGGAAAGUUUUUUCUCCCUCAAGCACUUUCCAAUAUUUCAAUAUUUACUUUGUUUGGAUUACAUACAGCAAAAUAAUCCAAACAAAAUUCAGGAGAAAAGUCAAUGUAUCAUCCAUCCAUUUUCUGCAACUGCUUGUCCUACUCAGGCUCAUGGGGUGUCUGGAGCUUAUGGCCAUGAGGUAGGGAACAACCCAGGAUGGGGUGCCAACCCAGCCCCUCUGUUUUAGACUGGGGGGGGGGGGGGGCAGUGGAGUACCCAGAAGAAACCUCAUGAUGACAUAGAUUAGCUUGAUCUAAAUAACAUGUAUGGGUUUCUGUAAGGGAAAGACUGAACCAAGUGCAUUUAGAAUCGUGGCACCCAGUAGGAACUUUCUCACUGAAGGUACCUUUUUCAGGAACCGGGAACUGCUGUUGUGUUCCCACUACAGGAACUAAACCCAAUUGUAGUUCCUCUGAGGUACUUCUUGAACAUUUUUAGGCCCUGUUCCAGAGUAGGUACUCGACUAAGAACUACUUGGUGGAGUCUAUAGCAAUGAAGUCAUUGGCUGAACAAAAGUACAAGCACUGACUUGGAAGCUACAGUACAAAGAAAUGCAGGAAAAAGAAACAGAUGUAGAGGAGCAAAAAUGUAGCAUAUGGAAUUUUUAUUGUGUCCCAAUUACAUUAAAUGCAUCAAUGCCUUUAAUGCCUUUUUUGCUUGAGUCUCCUGCAUCGGAAAAUUUGAUCGAUAACUGAUAUACUUGUCUUACUUAGUUGACGUACUGUCUAAUAUCACUAGGGAAACUUGCAAAUGCUUAUUAACAGUAUAACGUUACAUCAUUUUUUAAUUCUGUGAAAAACAAAAGACGGUCAGAUUUAAUAAUGGAUUAUAAAAAUAUUGUGGGCCGUAUCAAUAAAAUUUGAUUUUUUCUAUAUUUUUGGACCAUGCAAUUGAUCCCCCCAAUAACUAACUUGUUUGUCCUACAUUACAUAACAUCUGCAUGUGAAGUUUAACCUACAAACUUUUUUUGUCUCCUGUGUAUAUUUACCAUACAAGUCACACACAUUUCCUGUUGUGCAGCGGGAAAGCAACACACGAAAUUGGCCCAGGAACUAAAAAAAGUUCCCGGUUGAAAGAGUCUAGGAACUCGGAACCAAGAACAAGGUUCCUGAACUUAGGUGGGAUGGUGCCUAGUGACUCACUCAAAGCCACUUUUCUGUUGACAUUGUUCAGCACCGCAGAAGUCCAAAGGUGAACUAUUCUCACCCAUCAAAAGCACAUGGUACACUGCUUUCAGUGAGACAUUCUGUCUACUUGGCACCAUCAUUGGAGAUCCACAGAUGGGAUGCUAUAACAAUGGUAAAUAAUGCAUGUCAUCAGACUAUAAAAUUGGCCCUAUAAAAUUCACUGUACUGGACAUAGAGACAAUGACAUCCUGAAUCCAUGGCUGUAAUUGUUGUAAUUAUGGUUUGUGAAAUGUCCCCAGCCAAUAAAGGACUCUGUACUUUUUCA